rfam:Neocallimastix californiae strain G1 LY90scaffold_689, whole genome shotgun sequence.
GGGGUGUUAGCUCAGCGGUAGAGCAAUUGACUGCAGAUCAAUAGGUCUUCGGUUCAAAUCCGGAACACCCCU